rnacentral:rRNA from 1 species
GAUGAACGCUGGCGGCGUGCCUAAUACAUGCAAGUCGAGCGAACGGACGAGAAGCUUGCUUUUCUGAUGUUAGCGGCGGACGGGUGAGUAACACGUGGAUAACCUACCUAUAAGACUGGGAUAACUUCGGGAAACCGGAGCUAAUACCGGAUAAUAUUUUGAACCGCAUGGUUCAAAAGUGAAAGACGGUCUUGCUGUCACUUAUAGAUGGAUCCGCGCUGCAUUAGCUAGUUGGUAAGGUAACGGCUUACCAAGGCAACGAUGCAUAGCCGACCUGAGAGGGUGAUCGGCCACACUGGAACUGAGACACGGUCCAGACUCCUACGAGAGGCAGCAGUAGGGAAUCUUCCGCAAUGGGCGAAAGCCUGACGGAGCAACGCCGCGUGAGUGAUGAAGGUCUUCGGAUCGUAAAACUCUGUUAUUAGGGAAGAACAUAUGUGUAAGUAACUGUGCACAUCUUGACGGUACCUAAUCAGAAAGCCACGGCUAACUACGUG